rnacentral:misc_RNA from 1 species
AAACCUUCAAGCUAAGCUUGGUGUUGGGUGCUUGUCCUCCCUAGUGGGGGACUCACCUCAAAUGCAUUGGCGGCCGGUAUGUUGGCUUCGAGCGCAGUAGAAACGCGCCUGGUGUCUUGACGUACUGGUCCUCCAUAAGCCCUUUAUUA